rnacentral:lncRNA from 1 species
UGAGUGAGGGCUGUGAGGACCGCCAGCACUCUGUCACCUCUCACUAUUACCAGUUCUGUUCCUUUGCUGCUUCUUCUGGUUGUCCAAUUCAACCAGCAUUGUUUUAUCUUUCUUUCUUGUCACAUAUAAUAUUUCAUAUCCUGUUUCUAAUCUGGAUUCGUCUUUCACUCUACUUGGCCCUUGGGUUGCAGCCCCAUGUCUCUCCUGGCCGGAGGCACCAAGACCUGGUGUCUGUCCCAGGAAAGUUAACAAGCUGGUCCACUUGCCAAUUUACCACCUUGGAUUUUGAGGCCAGGUGACUGGUGAAGGAGCCAGGAUUGAUUUAAAGCAUAAGCUGAGUGAUAUCACUGCAACAAAUAGUUACUAAGUGACCCAUUUACAUGGUGGAGAAUGUUGAUUCUGUGAGAAGGUCAAAUCAAUCAGGUACCUCAUUAUCUCAUUGGCUAAAACAACAUUGAUACAUUUUUUGCGCAAAGAUGGAGGCCUCCCUUUGUCCUCACCAAAGCCAGUAGGAAAUUACUGUGCCUCUAACCUCCUGAGAAAAUCCCCAAACCAUUGCAGGAGCAUUCUACUGAUUGGACUCCCUGCUACUAAAAACACGUUUCUCUGCUCAGCCUUCCUCCUUGGUCUGCAAUCUUGUCUUCAAGAUAGAAGCCUUUCCCUAGUCAAGGCUAAUCCCUUGGUAAUUGGAGUCCCACGGUCUUCUG